rnacentral:rRNA from 1 species
CGUAGGGUAACCUGCCCAAGAGAUCGGGAUAACACCUGGAAACAGAUGCUAAUACCGGAUAACAACAGAUGAUGCCUAUCAACUGUUUAAAAGAUGGUUCUGCUAUCACUCUUGGAUGGACCUGCGGUGCAUUAGCUAGUUGGUAGGGUAACGGCCUACCAAGGCGAUGAUGCAUAGCCGAGUUGAGAGACUGAUCGGCCACAUUGGGACUGAGACACGGCCCAAACUCCUACGGGAGGCAGCAGCC